rnacentral:misc_RNA from 1 species
CCUCCCAGGCCCACCAAUUAUCCAUCCAUAGAAAAGCGCUUAGAAAGUUUGACUGUUAACAGGUCAACGUUGUUUUGUAGGACGUCAAUAUUGUCUUGAAAAAGAGCUUUCUUGUAAAGUUUGAGAAAACUUGUUUAUCGCUUUUUGUAAGAUGUGGUGUUUGUCUGUUUUUAAAGCGAUCGAAACUGAAAGUGUUUCAAAGAUAAGAGUUUUGGAACAGAAGAGUCUUGGAACAGAAAAGAAUAUAAAGUCUAGGUGGUAUUACAUAGUCUAAAGUUAAAUUGUUCAUGAUUGGAGCAUUUCAUAUUGGAAUGCUGCGAUAUAAAGGUUUCGAAUAAAUUAUUCCGUUUUGGGGCCGUAGCUCAGCUGGGAGAGCACCUGCUUUGCAAGCAGGGGGUCGUCGGUUCGAUCCCGUCCGGCUCCACCAUUUUGUCAUCAUCAUUGUUGUGAGAACAGGUUUUAGUGAAAGGUUGAGUAACCUUUCGCUUGUUCUAUUGAAAUUGUGAAGAGAAGAUAUAUUCAGACAUGUUCUUUUUGAACUGUUUGUUUUGAAGGCAAGAGCUUUUUUCAUGGGAAAUAAUUAUGAGGAAUGCUUGUUAAAAAAUGCUUUCAGAAAAUGAUCUGGAAAGCAGAUCUAAAAAACAAAUGGGUCUUUUGUUUGUUUUGAAAUUGUCGAGAAAGCUGUUUUUAUAAAAUAGUUGUUCAAAAAUGUCAAAAAGCCAUGCAACGAGGGGACUGUGUAAGCCAAAAGCACCAAAAGCAUAAGCAGGAAACAAGUUGUGUCGCAUGAGACGUAGCCAAAA